rnacentral:rRNA from 1 species
AUGAACGCUAGCUACAGGCUUAACACAUGCAAGUCGAGGGGCAGCAUGAACUUAGCUUGCUAAGUUUGAUGGCGACCGGCGCACGGGUGAGUAACACGUAUCCAACCUGCCGAUGACUCGGGGAUAGCCUUUCGAAAGAAAGAUUAAUACCCGAUGGCAUAGUUCUUCCGCAUGGUAGAACUAUUAAAGAAUUUCGGUCAUCGAUGGGGAUGCGUUCCAUUAGGUUGUUGGCGGGGUAACGGCCCACCAAGCCUUCGAUGGAUAGGGGUUCUGAGAGGAAGGUCCCCCACAUUGGAACUGAGACACGGUCCAAACUCCUACGGGAGGCAGCAGUGAGGAAUAUUGGUCAAUGGACGAGAGUCUGAACCAGCCAAGUAGCGUGAAGGAUGACUGCCCUAUGGGUUGUAAACUUCUUUUAUACGGGAAUAAAGUGAGGCACGUGUGCCUUUUUGUAUGUACCGUAUGAAUAAGGAUCGGCUAACUCCGUGCCAGCAGCCGCGGUAAUACGGAGGAUCCGAGCGUUAUCCGGAUUUAUUGGGUUUAAAGGGAGCGUAGGCGGACGCUUAAGUCAGUUGUGAAAGUUUGCGGCUCAACCGUAAAAUUGCAGUUGAUACUGGGUGUCUUGAGUACAGUAGAGGCAGGCGGAAUUCGUGGUGUAGCGGUGAAAUGCUUAGAUAUCACGAAGAACUCCGAUUGCGAAGGCAGCCUGCUGGACUGUAACUGACGCUGAUGCUCGAAAGUGUGGGUAUCAAACAGGAUUAGAUACCCUGGUAGUCCACACAGUAAACGAUGAAUACUCGCUGUUUGCGAUAUACAGUAAGCGGCCAAGCGAAAGCGUUAAGUAUUCCACCUGGGGAGUACGCCGGCAACGGUGAAACUCAAAGGAAUUGACGGGGGCCCGCACAAGCGGAGGAACAUGUGGUUUAAUUCGAUGAUACGCGAGGAACCUUACCCGGGCUUGAAUUGCAACUGAAUGAUGUGGAGACAUGUCAGCCGCAAGGCAGUUGUGAAGGUGCUGCAUGGUUGUCGUCAGCUCGUGUCGUGAGAUGUUGGGUUAAGUCCCGCAACGAGCGCAACCCUUGUUGUCAGUUACUAACAGGUUCCGCUGAGGACUCUGACAAGACUGCCAUCGUAAGAUGUGAGGAAGGUGGGGAUGACGUCAAAUCAGCACGGCCCUUACGUCCGGGGCUACACACGUGUUACAAUGGGGGGUACAGAAGGCAGCUACACGGCGACGUGAUGCUAAUCCCGAAAGCCUCUCUCAGUUCGGAUUGGAGUCUGCAACCCGACUCCAUGAAGCUGGAUUCGCUAGUAAUCGCGCAUCAGCCACGGCGCGGUGAAUACGUUCCCGGGCCUUGUACACACCGCCCGUCAAGCCAUGGGAGCCGGGGGUACCUGAAGUGCGUAACCGCGAGGAGCGCCCUAGGGUAAAACUGGUGACUGGGGCU